AUAACAGACCCAUCAAUCACUGUGCAAAUUACAUGUUUACUAAAAAGGGAAAAAAAACAUAUAAAGGAACAGAGAAGAUUAUGAGCUGUCUCACAUUACCUCAAAACCAGGCUUGAUAUGCAAGACCAAGUUCAUGGACCUGGAAAGUUUUUAAUCUAUCCCACAUUGUGCAGUAGUAGAGUAGAGUAUUUAUGCCACUAUUGUGCAGUAGCAGUAGUAGAGUAGAGUAUUUAUGCCACUAUUGUGCAGUAGCUGUAGUAUAGUAUUUAUGCCACUAUUGUGCAGUAGUAUAGUAUUUAUGCCACUAUUGUGCAGUAGCAGUAGUAGAGUAGAGUAUUUAUGCCACUAUUGUGCAGUAGCAGUAGUAGAGUAGAGUAUUUAUGCCACUAUUGUGCAGUAGCUGUAGUAUAGUAUUUAUGCCACUAUUGUGCAGUAGCAGUAGUAGAGUAGAGUAUUUAUGCCACUAUUGUGCAGUAGCUGUAGUAUAGUAUUUAUGCCACUAUUGUGCAGUAGCUGUAGUAUAGUAUUUAUGCCACUAUUGUGCAGUAGCAGUAGUACAGUAUUUAUGCCACUAUUGUGCAGUAGCUGUAGUAGAGUAUUUAUGCCACUAUUGUGCAGUAGCUGUAGUAGAGUAUUUAUGCCACUAUUGUGCAGUAGCAGUAGUAGAGUAUUUAUGCCACUAUUGUGCAGUAGCUGUAGUAUAGUAUUUAUGCCACUAUUGUGCAGUAGCAGUAGUAGAGUAGAGUAUUUAUGCCACUAUUGUGCAGUAGCAGUAGUAGAGUAUUUAUGCCACUAUUGUGCAGUAGCUGUAGUAUAGUAUUUAUGCCACUAUUGUGCAGUAGCAGUAGUAGAGUAGAGUAUUUAUGCCACUAUUGUGCAGUAGCUGUAGUAUAGUAUUUAUGCCACUAUUGUGCAGUAGCUGUAGUAUAGUAUUCAUGCCACUAUUGUGCAGUAGCAGUAGUAGAGUAUUUAUGCCACUAUUGUGCAGUAGCUGUAGUAGAGUAUUUAUGCCACUAUUGUGCAGUAGCUGUAGUAUAGUAUUCAUGCCACUAUUGUGCAGUAGCAGUAGUAGAGUAUUUAUGCCACUAUUGUGCAGUAGCUGUAGUAGAGUAUUUAUGCCACUAUUGUGCAGUAGCUGUAGUAUAGUAUUCAUGCCACUAUUGUGCAGUAGCAGUAGUAGAGUAUUUAUGCCACUAUUGUGCAGUAGCUGUAGUAGAGUAUUUAUGCCACUAUUGUGCAGUAGCUGUAGUAGAGUAUUUAUGCCACUAUUGUGCAGUAGCAGUAGUAGAGUAUUUAUGCCACUGAUCAUUUAGGGCCAUGGCUUUUAUCCUAUUUAAUGGACAGACUAGGGAAGGGAGGGAUCUGUUAUCUUACACCUGCUCACUGCUAAUUUAGGCUACAUUCAUCAUCAUCAUCAUUGUUUAUUCAGGGAGAAUUGACUGAGCACAGGGCUCUUUUCCAGCAAUGCCCUGAUUGAGGCUACAUAAUACAUACAACAAUAAAUAAACAAACCAUAACAAAACAAAACAGACAAAAUAAAUAAACCAAACACAUUUAACAACUCAGAAAUUAGGUAUAAAAUAUAAAUAAAAAAAAUAACAAAGUAAAAAGAAUUAAAUAACAUUAUAAGUGGGAUGGUAGAGAGUUCUGUUACCUUCACUUCACUGAAGUCACAGUGUCCUUUUGGGAUUGACAGUGGAGCUACAGCGAAUAACGUGUGUAACACAUCCAUAUGGAAAUAUAAUAAUUGUUUUAAUGAUUUUCUUAUCAUAUUCAAGAAAAUGUCACACAAUGCUGUUCCAAGCAAAGCUGCCAAAAAGAGAUUUAUAAUCAGAGUUUGAUGUAUUGUUUCAAAAUUAGGCAUCACAUAUAAUGUGUGUUAAAAAAGUACUAAUGUGAUAAUAUGUUUAUCAUGUUACAGCAAUCAUAUAUAUGUACAACUGUGUAUUAUGUUUCUACUGUUUUGUGUUUGUUUCAGAGCUGAUGGAUGGCCAAGAAGAUGCAAGUUGAUGAUUUCUAAGGAAGUCAUUAGUUUCAAAUACCAUUUCCUUUCCUGAGGCACAGACACAGUAAAACGUUUUUGUUCUUUUAAACUGUUUCCAUGUAACUACUGACAACUCUGUGAGUCAUUUUAGUAUCUUACAUGUUCCUGUAUGCUACCCAGUCUAUCAAUCUUAUUAGAAAUCUCAACUGUGUUACCAAAGAGGUGAGGGCCCUAAUACACGAGAGGUAAAGAGGUGAGGGCCCUAAUACACAAGAGGUAAAGAGGUGAGGGCCCUAAUACACAAGAGGUAAAGAGGUGAGGGCCCUAAUACACAAGAAGUAAAGAGGUGAGGGCCCUAAUACACGAGAGGUAAAGAGGUGAGGGCCCUAAUACACAAGAGGUAAAGAGGUGAGGGCCCUAAUACACGAGACCUCACAGUUUGGCUCACUUUGCAUUUGACAAUUAUUGUGUAUGUUUUUAGUAAUUUCUUUGUAUUGUCUUGAUAAAUUGUCUUGUCCAAUGUAUCAUUGUCACUAGGUAUCCAGGUGAAAUUGACCUAUAUUUUAGUAAAACAGUGUUUUUGUUGACCAAAAUCAUCCUUCUUCUUUUACAAUUCAUCUGCUUUAGAUUCAUUUAUUGGUUCUGCUUUGACUGUCAAAUUACAAAGUAUACCCAUAGCAAUAAGCAGAUGUAUUCAAUUAUGUCAGUUAGGAGGCUUACAAUGCAGUUAAAUAAGUCUCUCCACAGAUGUCUUGUGACAUUUGCAUUUGAAAUAUUAGCAAAAGUCUGGACUAAUCAGAGAUUAAAUAGCUAAGGCAUGCCAUAAAAUGA